rnacentral:rRNA from 1 species
CGGUGUUUAACUGGCGUGAUGUGGGACGUCCUACCGGUGGGCUUAGCCUCGCGAGGGGCGGCCCAACUAAUAUCCCGUCGCGGUGCUCUUUACUGAGUGUCGAGUCGGGCCGGUACGUUUACUUUGAACAAAUUAGAGUGCUUAAAGCAGGCUAUCCUCGCCUGAAUACUGCGUGCAUGGAAUAAUGGAAUAGGACCUCGGUUCUAUUUUGUUGGUUUUCGGAACCCCGAGGUAAUGAUUAAUAGGGACAGAUGGGGGCAUUCGUAUUGCGACGUUAGAGGUGAAAUUCUUGGAUCGUCGCAAGACGGACAGAAGCGAAAGCAUUUGCCAAAAAUGUUUUCAUUAAUCAAGAACGAAAGUUAGAGGUUCGAAGGCGAUCAGAUACCGCCCUAGUUCUAACCAUAAACGAUGCCAGCUAGCGAUCCGCCGAAGUUCCUCCGAUGACUCGGCGGGCAGCUUCCGGGAAACCAAAGCUUUUGGGUUCCGGGGGAAGUAUGGUUGCAAAGCUGAAACUUAAAGGAAUUGACGGAAGGGCACCACCAGGAGUGGAGCCUGCGGCUUAAUUUGACUCAACACGGGAAACCUCACCAGGCCCAGACACCGGAAGGAUUGACAGAUUGAUAGCUCUUUCUUGAUUCGGUGGGUGGUGGUGCAUGGCCCGUUCUUAGUUGGUGGAGCGAUUUGUCUGGUUAAUUCCGAUAACGAACGAGACUCUAGCCUGCUAAAUAGGCGUACCUUAUGGUAUCGCGAAGGCCCCCGGCUUCGGCCGGUGGGUUUUUACUACCAACGUACAAACAAAUCUUCUUAGAGGGACAGGCGG